rnacentral:sRNA from 1 species
GCAGGGUGUGAUGGAGCACGCCUGUAAUCUCAGCGACUCGGGAGGCUGAGUCAGGAGAAUUGCAAGUUGGGAGUCAGCCUCAGCAACUUAGCAAGAUCCUGUCUAAA